UACAGAGGGGCAAGCGUUAUUCGGAAUUAUUGGGCGUAAAGGGCGCGUAGGCGGCCAUUCAAGUGACGGGUGAAAGCCCUCGGCUUAACCGAGGAACUGCCUGUCAGACUGGAUGGCUUGAGACCGGGAGAGGUGAGUGGAAUUCCCAGUGUAGCGGUGAAUGCGUAGAUAUUGGGAGGAACACCAGUGGCGAAGGCGGCUCACUGGACCGGAACUGACGCUGAGGCGCGAAAGCGUGGGGGAGCAAAACAGG
rnacentral:rRNA from 1 species